rnacentral:lncRNA from 1 species
CACCGCCACCCAUCAACACCACAACACCAGACCUAUCACCAUUCUACCAGAUCUACUACCAUACACUACAUGCACCACCACCUCCACCCACCUACCAUUUGCCAUCAACACUACCAUCACCUAUUGACAUCUAGAUUCACCAAUCCACAAAAAAGGUGAGACAAAAGAAAUUUGGGGAAUAAGAAUUGCCACCCGUUGCCACCCACUAGUGCCACCACCAUUGUCUAAAUUUAAAAAGAAAACAAAGAGAUGUAGAAGAUAUGAAAUGUGAAAGAAAAGAGAGGAUACUGAGACAACAAAAGUAGGGGGGAGAGAGAGAGAGGAUCUGAAAACAAAAGAGAGUUUAACAGUGUUUUUUUUUCAAGAACGACACUGUUUUGGAAGGGCCAACACAUGUAGUUAAAUGUUUGACAUUGUAUCUCCCUUAUUCACAUAAUUAAAAGUAUAAACUUAGUUUUGAUUUCACUCAAAUUAAAUUAUGUUAUGCACUUUCCUUACUAAAUCAGUUUCUUAAUUAGAUUAUAAUUCAUUAAUAGCGGAUAUUUUAACAUAUCAUGUGAUUUAAUUAUAUACUUAGUUUCGCACCUUCAAUGUUAAAUUAGUUUUUAACAAAAUUAAAAUUUAUUUAACACAAAAUAUUAAAUAUCAGUCGUUUUAAUUAUAUUAGUUUUAACUGUGAAUUUCUUAACUAAAUUAGUGUCCUAACUAAAUUAAAUUUCAUUAGAACUUGAAAUCUUAUCAAAUUACAGUGUUUAAUUAUAUCAAUAUUAGUCGUGAUUCGUGAAAUUAGUUGAGCAAUAAUGGAUUUCUUACCAACUGUUAACACUCGAAUUUGUCCUCAUGCUCAACCACCGGCUUGUAUGUGGACCUGUACAUAAAGAAUCACUAGAAAGUACUUGACGGCUUAGGCCGUUG